UAAGUACUCCCUCCGUCCGAAAAUACUUGUCAUCAAAAUGGAUAAAAAGGGAUGUAUCUAGAACUAAUAUACAUCUAGAUACAUCAUCUUUUAUUCAUUUUGAUGACAAGUAUUUCUGGACGGAGGGAGUACUAU
rnacentral:pre_miRNA from 1 species